AUUCUAAAAUAAAUGUUGAAAAGUUUGGUUCAUAAGUUGAUAGCUAUUGUUACUUAGGGUAAAAGUUGUUUUUAAAGGAUUUUAUUACAGUACAUAGUUUGUCAUGUCUAAAUAUAACAAGUUAAUGAAAUUGGUUUCAAAUAGGAAGUUUGAGGGAGAUAGUUUAGAAGUUUAAUGGCAGUUAAGAAAAAUAAUCUAAAAUGCAUUGAAAUUGUGCUUCAUAUAAUAUCUAAAGAGCUGUCAAAAGUUUCACUUUGGUUUUCCACUGUUUCAGUAGCAGUUUAAAUAAAAUCUUAUAGCUUUUGAUUGUGGACAGCACUGUUUGGGUGCACGUGUUGCCCAAAAAUAACGUCCUUAUAUAUUUUUUUGUGGUGAUACAACUUGGGCCUGGUCUACACUACAAAGUUAGGUUGAUGUAAGUCACUUUGCAUCAGCCAAUUUGCAUCUAUGCCCAAAUUUGUCUCCAGCUGAUGUAAAUGCUCUGUUAAAACGACGACGCCAUAAAUCCACCUCCAUGAAUGGCAUUGAGCCACGGUUGACUUACUGAGUUGAUGCAGUGCGAGUGUAGACACUGCGUAACAUAUGUCAAUCCUAACAGUACUCCAAUAGCUUUCUCACAAUGCCUGAUAGUGACUGCCCUGGACCCACAGUGAACUCCACUGUCCAGGGGUUACAGAGACUGGAAUCUACCUUACCACUUACAAAACCCCACUUUAUUUUUGAAAUGCCUUUUCCUGAUUGCCCCGCUUGGCAAGCACAUCUAGCAGUUCUCCCUUAUUAUGUGUAACUGCCCUACCAACCGUGUCAGCUCCGUACAUUAGACUUGCUUCUGUCUGGAGUAGAUGAGGUAUUAGAUCUCCUGGGCCUGUGGGAAGAAGAGGUUUUUCAAACACAGCUAUGGAACAGCUCCAGAAACAUGGACAUCUGUGAAAUAAUUGCAUGGGGGAUGCAGGCGACGGCAUAUGACAGGGAUCAGCAGCCGUGCCACAUGAAAGUGAAAGAACUGUAACAGGCAUACCACAAGGCCAGGAAGGCCAACAUUUGAUCUGGUGCUGAGCCACAGAUCUCCUGCUUUUACAAUAAGCUGCAUGUCAGGGUUGGCAGAGUUCCCACCAGCAUCCUGCAGACCACUGUAAAUACCUCAGAGGAGCCUGAGACAGAGACCCAGUCUGUGAACAAUGAGGAGGAGUUGGGAGACAUGGCAGGGCUGGGGGUCCAGCUAUGUCAUGAGCCAGGACCUGUUCAAGACUCCACGUCAGUCUGGCCAGUCCCAUCAGCAAAGCACCGAUGAACCUGGUGAAGGGCAAGAAACCUUGGCUGCUCCAUUGUGGCCCCCUCCACACCACUGGAACCCUGAGGAGAAGAAAGAAGAGGGCUAGUGAGAUCCUGCAAGCCAGUGAUGCAUCAGUCUGCAAACAAAAGGCCUGUAUGGCCAGCGUGGCAGAUGGCAUGGAGAGGGACAGAGAGGAUAGGAGAAAAUGGAGAAAGACCCAGAAAUCCCAGCAGGAAAAGGAGAGAGCUUCUCAGGCAGCAAACACAAAUGCUGCAUACUCUGGUUGACCUACAAGUCCAGUAGUCACCAACUUGCCACCCUUUGCAGUCCCUGGAGAACUCUAUGGUGGCAGCUUCCCAUGCACCCCAACAUUCCACCUGGCAUCCUGGGCCCCAUCCCUCCUGUGGAUAGUAAGGAAAACUACAGCUUCACAUACACUGUCCUAUGAGAGCCACAGUUGCUUUGUGUAGCCAGAAUAGACUGCACUUGUGCACUGAAAUGGACAGAAAUGUUUGCUGCCUUUCUGAUUUUAAAAUUCUGUUCCAUUAAUAUAUGUAAGAAGCUUGUAUUGUAUUGUCCUUUAUUAUAUGCACAUUGGUUAUUUUGCACUGUUUUUGUCACUCAAAUUUCUAUUAAAAAAUAUAUAAUUUUUUAAAAAAUAAAUUUAGUUCACCUCUCCUACUGCAGAAUGCAUAGUGGUACUCAAGCACCCAGUACUUUUAAGUUUAUGGCACCACAGAACUCAUAGGUUCAACAAAACACCAGAUUCAACAAAACACUAGUCAAGUGUAUAAAUGUACAGCAAGCUGCAUGUAAUUCAUAAGUUCCCUAAAAGACAGUGUCAUAUGUAUAAAUGUACCACUAGCACUACACAGUUCCUAAUUGGCCCUACUGGUUUGGGGGCUCAGCACAGACCAACAUGGUGCAUUAAUAUGGCUGACUAUUAUAGUGCUCUUUCAAAGUCUUCUACAACCGCAUAGUUCCACAUUAAGCCCUUAUGUCUUGCUAUUCAAACUCAGCAGCCACUCCACCUCCACCCUGGCAGCUUUUCCCCUUUGCCUCAGAGAUAUUAUACGAGGCACAGCAAGCUGCUAUAACCUUCGGGAUACUUUUUUUUUUUUCCCCCUGAAAUUCAGUAUUGGAAGUAAACACACCAGUGUCCCUUCAGUCUACCAAAAGCACUUUCAACUGUCCUCCUUUAAAUACUGAGCUGGUGGUUAAAUCUUUCCUGUGUGCUGUCAAGGUGGCUUUUAGUGAACCAUGGGAACAAGGGGUAGGCAGGGUCUUCCAGUAUCGUUAUAGGGAUUUCAGUAUCGCAGUGAUGAUUUGCUGGUUGGGAAAGAAUAUCUGUUUUCAGCUUUCUGAACGGUCCUAUGUUCUUAAAGAUGCGAGUGUCAUACACCUUCCCUGACCAGCGCCCAUUUAUAUCAGUGGAGCAUCCCUGGUGAUCCAUCAACACAUGCAUAGCCAUAGAAGAGUAAGCCUUUUCUGUGAAUGUACUCUGUGGCAAGGUGGGCUGGUCCCAAAAUAGAGAGAUGCAUGCCAAGUAUCGCCCCACCGCAGUUUGGGAACCCCACUGCUGCAAAUCCAUCCACUGUGUCCUGUACAGUACUGAGUCAGUCCUGCAUAGCAGGACACUAUUAACGGCCCCCAGUGUGAAUUGUCUAACUCCAGAAUGAUUUCCCACUGACCAGUACUAAUCCAGCAUUGCAAGCUUCCAAGUGUGAUUGCCAUUCGCUUCUUAACUGUCAUCGCAGCUCUUUUUCUGGUGUCCCUGCGCUGGAGGGCUGGGGCAGACAUUUGAAAGUGCUGCAGCUACUGCAUCUCAUCCUAUACCUGCCUUGCGAUGCAUCUCACCAGUCAGUGCUCAUUUCUCAGGCCCAGAAGGGCCGCUCCACUUUCUGCAGCUGCUCGGUGAACACCACCAGCAGCCUUGAAUUGUUUUUCACUCUGUCCCUUAACAGUCUGUCCUUGAAGAAAUCGUCAUGUGCCCAAGUAUUGCAGUUCUUUCUCCGUGUCUGCAGAUAUCAGGAGAUCUUGCAUCCUGUAUUUGCAACAUUCAUAAGGACAGUGCAGAGCUGCGUGGGCUCCAUGCUUUUGUCAGAGAUGGCCGAUGCAGAAAAGGGUUGUGGGGGUUUGUUGGAUUCUUAAAAGAAGCAUGAAGAUUACGGGAUAUGGAUGGCAUUAUGGGAUGGAGAAAGUUGUAUGCAGGAACUUGACCUUUCACUCCCAGAGGUCCCUGCAUGAUUCAUUUCUAUUUCACAACACAUUGCGAAAAUUUCCCAAAAAGAUUUUAGCUAUGUGGCAGUGUGUGGGGCACACUGGGAUGCCUUCCUGUGGUGCACUGCACUCUACUUUGGCACAAGCACUCCUGAGUACAUGCAGUGCAGACACAAGCAGUGUACUAACAUGGGGCAGCUGUAUGCUGAUGUAAUUUGCAUCAACCAGAAUUUGUAGUGUAGAUGUGGCCUUAUGCUUCAGUCAGCAGUCUCCUCUGGUGGAUUGUUAAUUAGGUAGUUACAAUAGACUUUCUAGUCUUGUGACUUAGAAAACUAUUAUUCCUAUCCUAAAACAAGUAGCCACAUUGGCUGCAAUAAAGAAAUAUAAAGUAAAUUCCGUUACCCUUUAUGAUCUGUAAUGCCUGUCAAACCAUGCUAUCUUGGGAGCUGAGGAAUACCUAAAGUAUAAAGAAAAAUAAAAUAUAACCUAAUGGAGAGAAGACUGAGACUUACAGAAACGCCAUUCAGAGUGAUCUAGUGUGAUGAUCCUAGUCUGACUGGCACUCAUCAAAAAUUGGCUAAUGUAUCUUAAAGAUAUUGGUUCCAAAGAUUCUGUGAUAUAGUACAAUUUUAUUACGUGUUUAUACUUAUCUUAGUUAAUAAAGACUGUUGAAUGCAUGUAUAUCUAAUACCAAACGUUUUCUUUUUCCAUACUCUCUCUCUUCCCUUAUAUCUGUAG